GACGAACGCUGGCGGCGUGCUUAACACAUGCAAGUCGAACGGAAAGGCCCUGCUUUUGUGGGGUGCUCGAGUGGCGAACGGGUGAGUAACACGUGAGUAACCUGCCCUUGACUUUGGGAUAACUUCAGGAAACUGGGGCUAAUACCGGAUAGGAGCUCCUGCUGCAUGGUGGGGGUUGGAAAGUUUCGGCGGUUGGGGAUGGACUCGCGGCUUAUCAGCUUGUUGGUGGGGUAGUGGCUUACCAAGGCUUUGACGGGUAGCCGGCCUGAGAGGGUGACCGGCCACAUUGGGACUGAGAUACGGCCCAGACUCCUACGGGAGGCAGCAGUGGGGAAUAUUGCACAAUGGGCGGAAGCCUGAUGCAGCAACGCCGCGUGCGGGAUGACGGCCUUCGGGUUGUAAACCGCUUUCGCCUGUGACGAAGCGUGAGUGACGGUAAUGGGUAAAGAAGCACCGGCUAACUACGUGCCAGCAGCCGCGGUGAUACGUAGGGUGCGAGCGUUGUCCGGAUUUAUUGGGCGUAAAGGGCUCGUAGGUGGUUGAUCGCGUCGGAAGUGUAAUCUUGGGGCUUAACCCUGAGCGUGCUUUCGAUACGGGUUGACUUGAGGAAGGUAGGGGAGAAUGGAAUUCCUGGUGGAGCGGUGGAAUGCGCAGAUAUCAGGAGGAACACCAGUGGCGAAGGCGGUUCUCUGGGCCUUUCCUGACGCUGAGGAGCGAAAGCGUGGGGAGCGAACAGGCUUAGAUACCCUGGUAGUCCACGCUGUAAACGGUGGGUACUGGGUGUGGGGUCCAUUCCACGGGUUCCGCGCCGUAGCUAACGCUUUAAGUACCCCGCCUGGGGAGUACGGCCGCAAGGUUGAAACUCAAAGGAAUUGACGGGGGCCCGCACAAGCGGUGGAGCAUGUGGUUUAAUUCGAAGCAACGCGAAGAACCUUACCAGGUCUUGACAUCCCUCUGACCGCUCUAGAGAUAGAGUUUUCCUUCGGGACAGAGGUGACAGGUGGUGCAUGGUUGUCGUCAGCUCGUGUCGUGAGAUGUUGGGUUAAGUCCCGCAACGAGCGCAACCCCUAUUGUUAGUUGCCAUCAUUCAGUUGGGCACUCUAGCGAGACUGCCGGUAAUAAACCGGAGGAAGGUGGGGAUGACGUCAAAUCAUCAUGCCCCUUAUGACCUGGGCUACACACGUGCUACAAUGGCUGGUACAACGAGUCGCAAGCCGGUGACGGCAAGCUAAUCUCUUAAAGCCAGUCUCAGUUCGGAUUGUAGGCUGCAACUCGCCUACAUGAAGUCGGAAUCGCUAGUAAUCGCGGAUCAGCACGCCGCGGUGAAUACGUUCCCGGGCCU
rnacentral:rRNA from 1 species